AGGACGAACGCUGGCGGCGUGCUUAACACAUGCAAGUCGAGCGGUAAGGCCUUUCGGGGUACACGAGCGGCGAACGGGUGAGUAACACGUGGGUGAUCUGCCCUGCACUCUGGGAUAAGCCUGGGAAACUGGGUCUAAUACCGGAUAUGACCUGCUCUCGCAGUGGGGGGUGGUGGAAAGAUUUAUCGGUGCAGGAUGGGCCCGCGGCCUAUCAGCUUGUUGGUGGGUAAUGGCCUACCAAGGCGACGACGGGUAGCCGACCUGAGAGGGUGACCGGCCACACUGGGACUGAGACACGGCCCAGACUCCUACGGGAGGCAGCAGUGGGGAAUAUGCACGAAUGGGCAAAGCCUGAUGCAGCGACGCCGCGUGAGGAUGAAGGCCGUUGGGUUAGUAAACCGUCUUUCGAGUCGAGGACGAGCGCAAGUGACGUACCU
rnacentral:rRNA from 1 species